GUAACAUCAAUGACAACACAAAAGCGAUUUUAAGAAACUACUGAAAUCCGAGUGUCAAGACAAUGGCAGAGAACACAUCUGUUUUUUGUGGGAGGGGAUCCGCUGUCUGGUGUGCAGUUGUGCAUGUUGUCUAUGUAUCUGGUCUCAUCAUGGGAUGAGACACACACCCACAGACACAACUCAAACACCAGCAGCCCUUAACAAGGAGGGGAGCACGGAGAACCCAACAGCUGCGGCCUAAAAAACUGGAGACAAAAGCCGAAAAGGAUGUACCGCUUCAUUGAAGACGGGACUAAAAAGCCAUGGCAAUUUGUUUGUGGUCCGGUCUAUAUGUUGGUGGACGAUUGGGUCUUAGUCCGGUUUUCAUGGUGCAAAUGGCAACUUCAAUAGCAAGUUUGUGUUGUUUUUUGGAGGAGGCAUGUAUUACAUCUGCCUACUGUGUGGUAGGUUAGAUAUUGAUUGUGGUCUCAGGUUGCAGGAUUAAAUAUUGUCCAUGAAAUAUUGCAGAAGGGUGUCGAAUUGGCAAAUGAAGAACCCCAUUAAAUAUUACUACUUCAACCAGAUUAAAACAAAUUUCCGUUUUCAACAUUUGAUUCACUUGACAGUUGACAGUCUGUCCAUUCCUAACAUGUCUACACGACUUCUGGUUUUUUUUUUUUUUAAGAUAAUUUGUCUGUAUUUUCCAGUCCGUCUAAUGCUAAUUUUGUCAAUCCAAGUCUACGCAAGCUGUGUACUAUUUUCCAAAACUACUAUUUUUCUUUUGGCUUUGGCUUUCAAUACCUGCAAAGGUAAUUGCAAUGUUUUUAUUGCUAAAAAUUGAGCAUGAGUGACUUUCCAAAACUAAACAUUGGGCUUGUGUCAAUCGAAAUGUACGCCAUUAUUGCAUGUAUUUAAGCUAGGGCUGAAUAUUUAAUCACAAUUAAUCUUAUUUUGUCCAUAGUUAACUUGGUGUUAAUCACAUUUAAUCACAGAUAGAAAUAUGUUUUUAUUUCCAAUAACUGAAGUGGCACUUCACAAUAAUGUAUAUAUAUAUCCGAUGAACGUAAUGGCCACUUGUAGCUCGCUGGUGGGACAAAAACAAGCUAGCUAAAUGCCACCUGCCAGGCAAAAUGUGUAAACAAAAAUGACGGAAUGAGAUUGAAAUGUGAACGAUCACACACUUGACAAAAAAGUCAAACUUUUUGGAAGGUGUGAGUCUCAUUACAUCUGUAACCAUUUCUGAAAAGAACACCAUACCAACAGUAAAAUAUGGUGGCGUUAGUGUGAUGGUCUGGGGCUGUUUUGCUGUUUCAGGGCAUUGGAAGACUUGUCGUCAUAAAGGAAGGAUAUAAAUUCACUAUAACUCA